UCAUUUCAACCCUCAAGCCCUGCUUGGUGUUGGGGUCCUACGGCUGCCGUAGGCCCUGAAAGCUAGUGGCGGGCUCGCUAUAACUCCGAGCGUAGUAGUAAAAUAUCUCGCUAGGGAGGUGUCGCGGGUUCCGGCCGUGAAAGCCCCAUCUUUUACACAAGGUUGACCUCGGAUCAGGUAGGAAUACCCGCUGAACUUAA
rnacentral:misc_RNA from 1 species